UGGGGAAUCUUCCGCAAUGGACGAAAGUCUGACGGAGCAACGCCGCGUGAGUGAUGAAGGUCUUCGGAUUGUAAAGCUCUGUUAAUCGGGACGAAAGAGCCUAGUGUGAAUAAUGUUAGGAAGUGACGGUACCGGAAUAGAAAGCCACGGCUAACUACGUGCCAGCAGCCGCGGUAAUACGUAGGUGGCAAGCGUUGUCCGGAAUUAUUGGGCGUAAAGCGCGCGCAGGCGGAUCUGCCAGUCUGUCUUAAAAGUUCGGGGCUUAACCCCGUGAUGGGAUGGAAACUACAGAUCUAGAGUAUCGGAGAGGAAAGUGGAAUUCCUAGUGUAGCGGUGAAAUGCGUAGAUAUUAGGAAGAACACCAGUGGCGAAGGCGACUUUCUGGACGAAAACUCACGCUGAGGCGCGAAAGCCAGGGGAGCGAACGG
rnacentral:rRNA from 1 species